rnacentral:rRNA from 1 species
AGGGAAAGAGGGAGGGAGGUUGAACACAUGCAAGUCGAACGGCAGCACAGUAAGAGCUUGCUCUUACGGGUGGCGAGUGGCGGACGGGUGAGGAAUACAUCGGAAUCUACUUUUUCGUGGGGGAUAACGUAGGGAAACUUACGCUAAUACCGCAUACGACCUACGGGUGAAAGCAGGGGAUCUUCGGACCUUGCGCGAUUGAAUGAGCCGAUGUCGGAUUAGCUAGUUGGCGGGGUAAAGGCCCACCAAGGCGACGAUCCGUAGCUGGUCUGAGAGGAUGAUCAGCCACACUGGAACUGAGACACGGUCCAGACUCCUACGGGAGGCAGCAGUGGGGAAUAUUGGACAAUGGGCGCAAGCCUGAUCCAGCCAUACCGCGUGGGUGAAGAAGGCCUUCGGGUUGUAAAGCCCUUUUGUUGGGAAAGAAAAGCAGCAGGUUAAUACCCCGCUGUUCUGACGGUACCCAAAGAAUAAGCACCGGCUAACUUCGUG